GGGAAAGUAGAUUAUAAAAAUUAUAGUAUUGUCAAUACUAAGAUGCUUUAAGUAUAAAAGCCUUUUCUU
rnacentral:tRNA from 1 species